CCUUCUGUUUAUUUAUUUAAGGUCUGACCUGCCCAAUGAGGAAUUGAAUGGCCGCAGUAUUUUAACUGUGCUAAGGUAGCAUAAUCAUUUGUCUUUUAAUUGAGGGCUGGAAUGAAAGGUUGGACGAGAUAUUAACUUUCUUUAGUUUAAUUAUAAGAAUUUAAUUUUUUAGUUAAAAAGCUAAAAUUUAUUUGUUGGACGAGAAGACCCUAUAGAUCUUUAUAAUUUUAUACUUUAAUAGUGUAGGGAAUAUUCUUUUUUGAAGUAAAUUAAUUAUUUUGUUGGGGUGACUGUAGAAUUUAAUUAACUUCUAUUUAUUAGAAUCAUUUAUUAGUGUUUUAUUGAUCCAUAUAUUUAUGAUUAGAAGAUUAAGUUACCUYAGGGAUAACAGCGUAAUUUUUUCGGAGAGUUCAUAUUGAUGAAGAAGUUUGCGACCUCGAUGUUGGAUUAAAAUAAGUUAUAGAUGCAGGAGUUUAUUUACUAGGUCUGUUCGACCUUUAAAUUUUY
rnacentral:rRNA from 1 species